rnacentral:rRNA from 1 species
AUUGAACGCUGGCGGCGUGCCUAACACAUGCAAGUCGAGCGGAUGAAGGGAGCUUUCUCCUGGAUUCAGCGUCGGACGGGUGAGUAAUGCCUAUGAAUCUGCCUGGUAGUGGGGUAUAACGUCUGGAAACGGGCGCUAAUACCGCAUACUUCCUGAGGGGGAAGGUGGGUGGUCUUCGGACCUCAUGCUAUCAGAUGAGCCUAGGUCGGAUUAGCUAGUUGGUGGGUUAAAGUCCUACCAAGGCGAGGAUCCGUAACUGGUCUGAGAGGCUGAUCAGUCACACUGGAACUGGAACACGCACAAGACUACUGAGGGACGCAGCAGUGGGGAAUAUUGGACAAUGGGCGAAAGCAUGACCCAGUCAUGCGGCGUGUGAGGAGAAGGUGUCGGGAUUGUAAAGCAGGUUAAGUUGGGAGGAAGGGCAGUAAGUUAAUACCUAGCUGUUUUGACGUUAACAACAGAAUAAGCACCGGCUAACUUCGUG